GUCCUGAAAUGAGAAUCGAACCCACAGUGUUACGCUUACCGGGCAGAUGCCAUGUCCACUAGGCUACUCUGGA